AGCCAUGCGUUGAUCACAAAGCAAAGUAUUAUUUCGCCUUUUACACUAAAGAAUACCGUGUUCUUAUCAUUUUAAGUGGCAUACGUCCAUUUUUGAAGGAGUGUAUCUCUGUCGGUGU